GCAACUUCCAAUCAGAAUUCAGACCCUACCUGUCCUGAGUAGAAUAAUAUUUGCCUAGCAGCACUCUCUCAUUGGCUAGAAAUGAUUUGUUGCUGGGAAAAUGAAACUUAACAGAAUGUAAGGUGCAGCACAUUGGGCGCUUUAGUAUUGCAUGAGUUUUAGACCAUUCCAUUGGUCUUUAAGGUAAAUCUCCACCCACCUGCGGCACCUGGCUAUGCAAAACCAGCAGGCCCACUGCUUCAGCUCUCUGUGACAACAGGGGACAACAAUAUACAGAUCUGUGCAACCACACUAAAAUAGUAGAGAUGGAACGAGGAAGAGGAGGAACUCUGAAGAUUCUGUUCCUGUUGACACUCUGUCUGCAAGACUUCACUGGUCAAUGCCAAGAUUCAGAGCAGCCCUCUGACCUGAGGAUGUUCUGGUGGGUAAGACUGGAUCAGGGAAGAGUACAAACAGGAAACAGCAAUCUGGAAGGAGAUGCAUUUACAGCAAAGUCAUCUCCAGUGUCUGUGACUGUACAGAGUAGAAACAGAGUG